rnacentral:misc_RNA from 1 species
UAAAAGUCGUAACAAGGUUUCCGUAGGUGAGCCUGCGGAAGGAUCAUUAAAAAUGUGGUACAAUUAUUGGUACUAAUUAAUCAUCCUACCCUUUGUGAAUUGUUUGUAUGAAUUUUUUUAAAUGGUCUUCCCUAAGUUGGAUGUUAGUAAAAUACAAAAAGACUUAGGGAAUGACUUUUUUAAAAGACUUUUUUUAAUUAAAACUUUUUGUAUUCAUUUGUCUAAAAUUUAUUUUUAUAAUAUAAAACAACUUUGACAAUGGAUCUCUUGUUCUCGCAACGAUGAAGAACGCAGCAAAAUGCGAUAAGUAGUGUGAAUUGCAGAAUACGUGAAUCAUCGAAUCUUUGAACGCAUAUUGCACUUUUUUAGUUACUAAAAAGUAUGUCUGUUUGAGUAUCAGUAAAAUAUUCUCACAACAUUAUUGUUUGUGUAAUGAGUGUUUUACAACGAUAAACAAGUUGUUUCACUUUAAAUUCUUUUUGUAAGUUUUACUACCAAUUACAAAUUUAAAAUUGGAUAAAAUUUUCCUUUAACGAGGAAUAACCUAAACAAUUUAAUUUUUUGGUUUGUAAAAUCCAUAAGGAAUCUAUACAUAAAUAACUUGAUCUCAAAUCAGAUAAGAGUACCGCUGAACUUAGCAUAUCAAUAAGCGGAGGAAAAGAAACUAACAAGAUUCCCUUAGUAACGGCGAGUGAGCGGGAAGAGCUCAAAUUUGAAAUCUUCAAGGUUGACCUUGACGAAUUGUAGUUUAUAGAAGUGUUUCUGUUGGAGCUUUGGUAAAGUUCUUGGAAUAGGACAUCAUAGAGGGUGAGAAUCCCGUAUUUGACCAUGACUUUCCAACUGUGUGAUACACUUUCAAGAGUCGGAUUGUUUGGGAAUGCAGUCCAAAUGGGUGGUAAAUUCAUCUAAGCUAAUAUUGGCGAGAGACCGAUAGCGAACAAGUACCGUGAGGGAAAGAUGAAAAGAACUUUGAAAAGAGAGUUAACAGUACGUGAAAUGUCAAAAGGGAAGCGUUUGACACCAGUGUUGUUUUCUCGAAAUCAAUUUAAUGAGUUCUUGUUUUUAAGUUAUUGUGACUUUAUCAGCGCAUUUCUUAUUUACUUGACUCAUUGAAUGCACCUUUCGUUUAACAAGUCAACAUCAAUUCUUUGGUGGUAAAAAGUUUAAAGGAAGGUGGCUUGGACUUCGGUCAAGUUUUAUAGCCUUUUCUAUGCCAUCGGAGAGAUGAGGUCUGCAGCGUAGAUCCUUCGGGGUUAGAUACCUUUGUGCUAAGUUAUAGUUUUAUAGACAACUUGUUGACUAUAAUAACCCUGUAAUUACUCGCUUAGGCUAUUUUACUACGCUUAGGAUUG